rnacentral:lncRNA from 1 species
GACGCAAUGGCAAAAUUGAAAUUAUGUUCAAACUUAUUAUGAUAGAGGUAAGAAAACAUGUCGUAAUAGAUUAGAUGCGGUGACAUUUUUGUAAAAAGGGUCAAAAUGUAUUAUUACAGGUAAUAAACCACCUCUCAUAAAAUAUGAAAAUUGUACACAGAGACAAGAUUAAAACAAAACAAAAACAACCUAGAACUAGAACAAUUUAAACAAAGAAAAGCCUAAACAAAGAAAAAUCUAGAGAAAGAAAAAGUUAAACAAUGAAAAAUGAAAAUCUCCCCCAAUAGACCAUAAUUAAACUACACAGUCUCCCCAAUGUAUCACAAACAAAAUA